rnacentral:rRNA from 1 species
AAGCGCCGGCUAACUACGUGCCAGCAGCCGCGGUAAUACGUAGGGCGCAAGCGUUAUCCGGAAUUAUUGGGCGUAAAGAGCUCGUAGGCGGUUUGUCGCGUCUGCCGUGAAAGUCCGGGGCUCAACUCCGGAUCUGCGGUGGGUACGGGCAGACUAGAGUGAUGUAGGGGAGACUGGAAUUCCUGGUGUAGCGGUGAAAUGCGCAGAUAUCAGGAGGAACACCGAUGGCGAAGGCAGGUCUCUGGGCAUUAACUGACGCUGAGGAGCGAAAGCAUGGGGAGCGAACAGGAUUAGAUACCCUGGUAGUCCAUGCCGUAAACGUUGGGCACUAGGUGUGGGGGACAUUCCACGUUUUCCGCGCCGUAGCUAACGCAUUAAGUGCCCCGCCUGGGGAGUACGGCCGCAAGGCUAAAACUCAAAGGAAUUGACGGGGGCCCGCACAAGCGGCGGAGCAUGCGGAUUAAUUCGAUGCAACGCGAAGAACCUUACCAAGGCUUGACAUGAACCGGUAACACCUGGAGACAGGUGCCCCGCUUGCGGUCGGUUUACAGGUGGUGCAUGGUUGUCGUCAGCUCGUGUCGUGAGAUGUUGGGUUAAGUCCCGCAACGAGCGCAACCCUCGUUCUAUGUUGCCAGCACGUGAUGGUGGGGACUCAUAGGAGACUGCCGGGGUCAACUCGGAGGAAGGUGGGGACGACGUCAAAUCAUCAUGCCCCUUAUGUCUUGGGCUUCACGCAUGCUACAAUGGCCGGUACAAAGGGUUGCGAUACUGUGAGGUGGAGCUAAUCCCAAAAAGCCGGUCUCAGUUCGGAUUGGGGUCUGCAACUCGACCCCAUGAAGUCGGAGUCGCUAGUAAUCGCAGAUCAGCAACGCUGCGGUGAAUACGUUCCCGGGCCUUGUACACACCGCCCGUCAAGUCACGAAAGUUGGUAACACCCGAAGC